rnacentral:rRNA from 1 species
UUGAUGUUUGAUUUCGGCUUGAGUAUUUUAUAAAAUCUUUUAAUUUGCAUGAAAAUUUUAGUGUGUUGGAAAACUGUAAAUUUUAUAUCUAUAGGUUAAUUUUAAAAUCCUAAAUUAUAAUAAAUUAGGUCUCAGCAUGUUUUAUUGAUGUAAGUAUGAAUAUAUGGAAAUAUGAAUUAGAAAAGAUUUUAGGUCUAGUAAAUUUUGUGCCAGCAUCUGCGGUUAUACUUGAAGGACAAGUAAAAUUUUUCGGUUACAGUUAAAUGAACUAUAAUAUAAAUUCUAUUGUAUUACAGGUAACAGAGGGUAAAAUUGAAUUGUUACUGUGUAAAAAUGAAAUAAUUUAAAGUUGAAGCUGAGAAAGUUUAAGUAAAAACUAGGAUUAGAUACCCUAUUAUUAAAAUUGAAAUUAUUAAAAUCCGGUUAGUAGUAGUUAUUUACUUAAAAACUAAAAGAUUUGGCGGUAAUUUAAUCUUUCCAGAGGAACUUGUUUUUUAAUCGAUAAACCACGAAAUAUCUUACUUACCUUAUUAAUAUCAGGGUUUGUAUACCUUCAUUAUCAGGUAAUUUUUAAAGAACAAAUUAUUAAAAUUGUUAUUUUGCAAAAAAAUUAGAUCAUGGUGCAGCUUAUAGGUAAGUUAAAAUGAGUUACAAUAAAUUAUUUUAAAAUGAAUUUAUAAUGUAAGUGUUAUAAUAAAGGUGGAUUUGGUUGUAUUGUGAGUUUAAUAAGCUUAUAAGAUAUAGGCUCUAAAUUAUGUACAUAUCGCCCGUCGCUUUCAUUUAUAAGUGAAAUAAGUCGUAACAUAGUAGAUGUACUGGAAAGUGUAUCUAGAAUUAU